AAGACUAUAGACCUGCGGAGUACCUGCGGAGGGAUCAUCAUUGAAUUUCCGGCUUAAUGCCGGUUGAGUGCACACUCACGCCGCCUUUACGGUGGCAACUCUCAAACCCAAACUAGUCAGUGAAUGUGAAUUUGUAUAAUAAAUACAACUUUCAGCAACGGAUCUCU
rnacentral:misc_RNA from 1 species